UAGGGACAGGUCUAGGUCACCUGAACCCAUCUUCAUCAGCAGCUGAUCACCUUUUAUCACAAUGCACUUCCAUUGGCCACUAAGAGGACACUGCUGGUCAAUAUCAACAAGCAAAGGAGAACAACAAUCAUUAUUACUAUCACAGGCAUUCUUAAGCACCCACUUAAACCAAGAUCUCCCUUGCUUAAUGCCAGUAGAGCCAAAUGAAAACGAAUAAGUAAUUGCAACUAGAGAAUGCUAGAAAACCGGGACUUGGACCCUUGCCGAACGAACCGGGAACAAGACUUGGCAAAUGGCCCAUUCAUAUUUGCCCUGGAAGACAGGUGACUUAUCUCAG
rnacentral:misc_RNA from 1 species